CACACCGCCCGUCACACCACGAGAGUUGACCGUGCCCGAAGUCGUGUGCUCAACCGCAAGGGGAGCAGCGCCUACGGCAAGGCCGGCGAUUGGGGUG
rnacentral:rRNA from 1 species